rnacentral:tRNA from 1 species
GCCCCGUUAGCUCAGUGGUAGAGCAGGAAGCUCUUAACUUCAAGGUCGGGGGUUCAAAUCCCUCACGGGGCA